rnacentral:misc_RNA from 1 species
AAGUCGUAACAAGGUUUCCGUAGGUGAACCUGCGGAGGGAUCAUUACCACGUUUCCAACGUAUCAAACAAACCGCGAACUUGUAAAACAAUUACCCAUCAUUGAACACGGGACUAAGUUGAUAGAUAAUAGCGCCUUGGUGGGUCACUAGGAAACUAGUGACGUGCGCUUCUUAGUCUGUCCAGUAGUAGUUUACUAUUAUUGGAGGUGAUUCCGUGUGGGCUUGCUAAAUUCCCCACCAUAUUUUUAUCUUAACGAUACCACCCUUUACUAAUUGACUAACCCCUUGACAUGUGUCCCUUAAUAAGGAUAUACUGUUGAAUCGUAGUUUAUCGAAACUAAGUACAACUCUUAGCAACGGAUAUCUCGGUUCUC